rnacentral:rRNA from 1 species
UACGAAGGGGGCUAGCGUUGCUCGGAAUCACUGGGCGUAAAGCGCACGUAGGCGGACUCUUAAGUCAGGGGUGAAAUCCUGGAGCUCAACUCCAGAACUGCCUUUGAUACUGGGAGUCUUGAGUUCGGGAGAGGUGAGUGGAACUGCGAGUGUAGAGGUGAAAUUCGUAGAUAUUCGCAAGAACACCAGUGGCGAAGGCGGCUCACUGGCCCGAUACUGACGCUGAGGUGCGACAGCGUGGGGAUCAAACAGG